AAAUAGUCGGCCAUCCGCCAUUGCGGGGCCGGACCGUUUGACGGCUCGAUCGCCCUCUCAGAAGGCCGGGGACGCGGACCUCUCCGACACGAUGAGACGCCAAGACCGAAGGCGGUGCAUGAUCGGAACGCCGCUUGCCUCANNNCGUCCGGAUGCAAGAAGCGGCCAACGUCCUCAGGGACGAUCUGCACCCGCAACGCCGCCCGCAACGUAUCGAUGCCGAGACGCCGCAGAUCUCCAUUAAAAUCGCCGCAGCGUGGCGACAGCGUGAUCGCCUCGAUCCCAGCCGUCUGUGCUCGUGCACUCAAGCUCUCCAUCGCGCUAUCGCCCGCCGGAUCGUCAUCACGCACGAUAUAGAGACGGCGCAGCGUCACCGGAAACAGGAUGGCGGCGAGAUGCGCGGCCGAGAGGGCUGCAUUCAUCGGCAAGGUCGGCAUGACGCAGCGAAGCGACAACAUGGUCU
rnacentral:misc_RNA from 1 species